rnacentral:rRNA from 1 species
GAACGAACGCUGGCGGCAUGCCUAACACAUGCAAGUCGAACGAGACCUUCGGGUCUAGUGGCGCACGGGUGCGUAACGCGUGGGAACCUGCCCUUAGGUUCGGAAUAACUCCCCGAAAGGGGUGCUAAUACCGGAUAAUGUCUUCGGACCAAAGAUUUAUCGCCUUUGGAUGGGCCCGCGUUGGAUUAGCUAGUUGGUAGGGUAAAAGCCUACCAAGGCGACGAUCCAUAGCUGGUCUGAGAGGAUGAUUAGCCACACUGGGACUGAGACACGGCCCAGACUCCUACGGGAGGCAGCAGUGGGGAAUAUUGGACAAUGGGCGAAAGCCUGAUCCAGCAAUGCCGCGUGAGUGAUGAAGGCCUUAGGGUUGUAAAGCUCUUUUACCCGGGAUGAUAAUGACAGUACCGGGAGAAUAAGCUCCGGCUAACUCCGUG